rnacentral:rRNA from 1 species
GAUGAACGCUAGCGGGAGGCCUAACACAUGCAAGCCGAGCGGUAGAGUUUCUUCGGAAACUUGAGAGCGGCGCACGGGUGCGUAACACGUGUGCAACCUACCUUUAUCUGGGGGAUAGCCUUUCGAAAGGAAGAUUAAUACCCCAUAAUAUAAUGAUUGGCAUCAAUUAUUAUUGAAAACUCCGGUGGAUAGAGAUGGGCACGCGCAAGAUUAGAUAGUUGGUGAGGUAACGGCUCACCAAGUCAAUGAUCUUUAGGGGUCCUGAGAGGGAGAUCCCCCAAGAUGGUACUGAGACACAGACCAGACUCCUACGGGAGGCAGCAGUGAGGAAUAGUAAACAAUGGGUGAGAGCCUGAUCCAGCCACCCCGCGUGAAGGAUGACGGUCCUAUGGAUUGUAAACUUCUUUUGUACAAGGAUAAACCUACCCUCGUGAGGGUAGCUGAAGGUACUGUACGAAUAAGCACCGGCUAACUCCGUG